rnacentral:rRNA from 1 species
UACGUAGGGUGCAAGCGUUAAUCGGAAUUACUGGGCGUAAAGCGUGCGCAGGCGGUUGUGUAAGUCUGACGUGAAAUCCCCGGGCUUAACCUGGGAAUGGCGUUGGAGACUGCACGGCUAGAGUGUGUCAGAGGGAGGUAGAAUUCCACGUGUAGCAGUGAAAUGCGUAGAUAUGUGGAGGAAUACCGAUGGCGAAGGCAGCCUCCUGGGAUAACACUGACGCUCAUGCACGAAAGCGUGGGGAGCAAACAGG